CCUACGGGGUGCUGCAGUGAGGAAUAUUGGUCAAUGGGCGGAAGCCUGAACCAGCCAAGUAGCGUGCGGGAUGAAGGCCCUACGGGUCGUAAACCGCUUUUGCACGGGGAUAACACCCUCCACUUGUGGAGGUCUGCAGGUACCGUGCGAAUAAGGGCCGGCUAAUUCCGUACCAGCAGCCGCGGUAAUACGGAAGGCCCGAGCGUUAUCCGGUUUCAUUUGGCUAAAGGGGAGCGUAGGCGGGCGGUCAAGUUAGCUGUAAAAUCGCGCGGCUCAACCGCGCCCCGCAUGUGAUACUGGACGCAUUGAGUUCACAACAGGCAGGCGGAAUUCGUGGUGUAGCGGUGAAAUCCGUAGAUAUCUGGAGGAACAUCAGUGGCGAAGGCGGCCACCUGGACCGGUAUUGACGCUGAGGCGCGAAAGCGUGGGGAGCAAACAGGAUUAGAUACCCGGGUAGUC
rnacentral:rRNA from 1 species